rnacentral:rRNA from 1 species
AUACGUAGGGAGCAAGCGUUGUCCGGAUUUACUGGGUGUAAAGGGUGCGUAGGCGGCUCUGCAAGUCAGGCGUGAAAACCAUGGGCUUAACCCAUGGACUGCGUUUGAAACUGUGGAGCUUGAGUGAAGUAGAGGUAGGCGGAAUUCCCGGUGUAGCGGUGAAAUGCGUAGAGAUCGGGAGGAACACCAGUGGAGAAGGCGGCGUACUGGGCCUUAACUGACGGUGAGGCACGAAAGCAUGGGUAGCAAACAGGAUUAGAUCCCCUGGUAGUCCAUGCCGUAAACGAUGAUUACUAGGUGUGGGGGGUCUGACCCCUUCCGUGCCGGAGUUAACACAAUAAGUAAUCCACCUGGGGAGUACGGCCGCAAGGUUGA